CCAUAUUGUGCCCCGUGCCCUGUCUUUCUGUGUCCCCGUGCACUGGUAUGCUCUACCCGUCCGCGUGCCGUAACCCGAGGCGCUUUGGAUGAAACAACUGUAAUGGUUACGUUCAGGAAUGUGGGACCAGCUGAAACCAAACACUGCGCCACUGUGACAACUAUUCACUGCAGUGAAGUGAGAUCGGCUCUCCUGGGAGAUGUUCUGUCUCUGUCUCAACCGUUUGAGAAGUUUAUACCCCUGCGUUGUUCACAGCACACAAAUUAAACUACUGCAUAUUUUUUCUGCUGACCCAGCGCACUAAAUUACAGUGUGCACCGAUGUCAUUCACAAUACCAUCACCAGAUGGUGACAAAACUGUAUUUGAAAAGCUGUUACAGCUUCUCUGUGCUGUUUGUUGAGGGGUGUAUGGGUUCAUUAAAGAGAAGACAUACAUACAUAGUUUAAAGUUUUAUGUCCUUAAGUAGCCCUCUGAUUUCCUGUACAUGUAGUACUCUACUCUGCUGAUAUGUAAUAUGUUGUUUUGAGGUGGACAUCAAGAUACUGAAACAAACACCAGACAUAUUUGUGCAAAUACAUCUCACAUAUUCUCUUUAAAGUUGAAUGUGAUUGCGUGUAUUACUGAAAAUACAUACUUUAAUAAUGUGAUGAGUACUUGAUUUAUUUAUUUAUAGACAACAAGAAUGGAAAAAAGUGUCAAGCACAAAACAAUAUAACAAGGAUUGGUACAUUUUGAUGCAUUUGGUAGAGCCGCAUGCUCAAAACUUCCUUUCCAGAAAAACCCCCACAAAUAUAAAACACAAAAAAAUGAAAUACCACCUCAGCCUAUCAAUGGGUGUGUCACCUAAAGGAAAGUUUUACAAAGGGAACGUUUUCCUGCAGUUACCUCUUGAAGUGAUUAAAGCAGAACGAGUGUCUGCCUUGCAUGUUGAUGUACGUCCUGCCAGAGUAAGUGUGCUGAGUAACCUGAGGGAUUUUUCUCCUCAACACUUGAUUGUCGACAGCAGAAGCU